AUUGAACGCUGGCGGCAUGCCUUACACAUGCAAGUCGAACGGCAGCGCGGGGCAACCUGGCGGCGAGUGGCGAACGGGUGAGUAAUAUAUCGGAACGUGCCCUGGAGUGGGGAUAACGUAGCGAAAGUUACGCUAAUACCGCAUACGAUCCAAGGAUGAAAGCAGGGGACCUUCGGGCCUUGUGCUCCUGGAGCGGCCGAUAUCUGAUUAGCUAGUUGGUGGGGUAAAAGCCUACCAAGGCGACGAUCAGUAGCUGGUCUGAGAGGACGACCAGCCACACUGGAACUGAGACACGGUCCAGACUCCUACGGGAGGCAGCAGUGGGAAUUUUGGACAAUGGGGGCAACCCUGAUCCAGCAAUGCCGCGUGUGUGAAGAAGGCC
rnacentral:rRNA from 1 species